UUCAACUGUGGCUGAGGUUAAUCUAACAAUCUGAUGAUUUCCAACUGCCUCUGCGCUUUGUACUACUUCUGCAUCCUUUCUUCUCUCAUUCAUUCUUGGAAUAUAAUAGGUCUUUCUCUCCUGUGUGUGAGCUGGUGUUGAAGUUUUCGUGUUUAAUCUAGUGUGGAAGUGGUGUUUCAGUAUCCAGAACCUCGGUACUACUCUGUCAUAAGUUUCUGUGGCAGGGAUUAUCAAGGACAUGUUCUUGCUUUGGUAGAGAGCCUGUGAAUGUUUUUGCUUUGGUCAAUUUUCCUUGAACGCACUUGAUUCGGAAUACGUAAUCAUCACGGAUAGCUUCAGUUGUAUGUUGUACUCGUGUCCUGUGAAAUUAUUAAUAAGUGCACAUGAACCUCAUGUUUUGCUGGAUAUGUUCUUUGAUCGCAUGCAAGCUGGUGUCGAAGCUGUGCGUUUCAGUAUGCAGAACUUGAGUACUACUCUAUCAUAAGUGGCUGGCUCUAGGAAUUAUCUGGUAUUGCAUGUGGCAAGAUAAAACCGGUAAUUUGGUCUGUGGCAGGAAAGUAGAGGUUAACAUACUAAACAUAACUUUUUUCAUAUCUGUUUGUCUUUUGAUGGUGUGUCUGCUAGUGUUGGAUUUCUUAUUUUCUUUUUGUAUCUACCACUUGUGCCACACUAUGCUGGUCUUUGGUUCUGUUACUUUACCACUUCCUUUGUUAUGAUUCUUUAGGCUAUUCUUGUCCACUGUGAUAUAUGAAUCUUCUCUCUCUCAAAUCGGUAUGUCACAACGGGAAGCCUAAAAAAUUCUCAUUUCACAUGGCGCUCUGCAAUUAAUUGUGGCAUAUAUUUCACAUUGUUAUAUUUUGAAGCAUUUGGUGAUUUCUAUUUUGACUAUGAAUUCUUCAUGUUUCUGUCUCUUGAAUUUAGUUUUCUUAACAUACUUUCCAUUCAAAUCAGCUUUGGGAUCUUUCAUGGUUUUACGUAAUAUUUGUUGCAUCUUGCUAGUCUUGGUGAUUUUGUGUUUUGCAAGUGGAACGUGAGAACUGAAGCAUACAAGAUUCUAAAGUAUAUCUUUUCUCACUCCCCUUGCAUGAGGAAUCUGGACUUAAUUUUACUUGAGCUGCUUUGGUGCGUUUUACUUGAUCCGUCUGGUAUAUAGGUGGGAAGCCUAAUUUUUGUAUCAUUUAACAUGGAGGACCAGAAUUUCCAAUUGGUUGUGACAUAUGUUCUCAUUGUUGUUAUGCUUUCAUUUGGCGAUCUCUACUUGACUAUAAAUUUUUCAUGGUUCUUUGUCUUUUAAGAGGAUCUAAUUUUCGCAUUGGUUUCAUGUUGGGGUCAGGGGGAAUAUCGAUUGUGUGUAGAUGUGGUGGAGAUUAUCAAGGACAUGGACUGUGAAAGCACAAAUUUGAACUUACAGGGGAGAUAGCCUAUGAAUGUAAUGUGGGAUUGAAAGUUGCGACGACAGGCCUCACUAUAAAACGGGUUAUGUUCCCCCUUAACUGUACUUGUUCUUGAAAGUCGUUGUCUUUGAGAUGGUGUCAUGUGGCGAUGUUUAUUUUUGUGAUUUUAUCAGGAAUUUUCCAUACUAAUAUGAUGGGUAGAGAACAACAAACAACUCUAGAUAAAUCCAGAUUUUUCUAAUAGUUGUGCUCCUUUAUUAUUUUUUCAUUGGUUUGAUCGCAUGUAUUAUGAAACCUGUUUUCUGCUGUGUUGUAGUUUUCUUCAAGAACAAGUUUUGUCUGCAGCGUGGUAGUUCUUCAUAGCAUAGCUCCUCGAGAUUUGAUUAAUUUAUCUCUAUUGAAUUCUAUCUUUCCCAUGAUUGUAUUCUAUAUCGUUGGUGGUUUUGGUUUUUGCUUCUGAAUUUUUCUUUUCUUGAUUUGUUAAACCUAAUCAAGUUGUUUUCCAUCUUUGCUGGUUUCAAUCUCGGAGUUUAUUGUACCUUCAAUUAUUUUUAGCUUAUCCAUAAAACUCUUUUGAAAAGACAGGAAAGGCUGAAAGUUGAAUUCGUGAAAAGCUCUGUCAUUCUUUACCAACAUAAUCAUCCUAAGACAUUGCAUCCAAACUUUUAUUUUGGUAAACUCUUCUUCAUUCGUAAAUUAUUUUCAAUUCCUUAUUCUCUAUGGAGUUUUAUUGUCCAUUCUUGUUCAGCCUUAGGGUUUUCACCCAUCAAUACUACUGUUUUCUUACAUUGGAACAAUGCGAAAGUGCUGGUGAAAUUGGGAAAGCUUUGUGGGGCUCUCUUUGUAACUAUGAUAUUUGGAUCAGCAACUUGGUUUGGAGAUUAUGCUACUAUUAUUUAUUUAAUCUUGGUUUUUUCUACAACUAUUUGUCAAAGCGUAAUUUUGUUGUACAGGUCUGGUGAUCACAGGGAGGUUUACAUUGAUUUGCUGUAUUUCAUAAGUAUUCUUCUUUCUCAAAUGCACUGCAACAUGUUAAUUUUGCUAUCCGAAGUGAAGGAAUUUGGAGAUGAGUGCCUCUGUGAUAUGUUUUUCUGGCUAUGUUAUAUAUUUUCAACUAUUGCUUGGCUUAAUUUGGCAAUCUGAACUUAGAUUUGAACAUUUCUGCAUUCAUGCUUCUCUGAAAGCUUGGGCGAGAUUAUCGGUAUUCAUCAUUGGGAUAUAAUUGAUUAUUUUCUUUAUAUGUAUAUCCCGAACCUGAGUGCACGAUUUUGGAAUGAUUCUUUGCCCUUCCCAAGAUGAAGAAUCUUGGACGACUUGGUUACAUUGCAGGUGUUGUUUGUUCUAAUGAUUUGUUCGUUGGGAGAGGUUUUCUAUAAUCUUCUUUAACUUGUUUCUAUUUUUAUUUGUGAUUUAAAUGAUGAUGAUGAUAAUACUCGUAAAAAGAUAUCCUUUGAUAGUGUAUUAUGACAAUGUUGAUUUUAGUAUUAGGAGAGCUUCAGUAGUUAUGGUCAUGUAGUACUUGUCCAUCUCUCUCUUGCAUAAUCAGGAUACAUGUCUGUUUUUCAGUGAGUUGAAGUUUGGAUAUCUCGUUUGUAGAUACUUGAUACAAUUGGAUAAGAAAGGAGAGUAUAGGUAAUUCAAAUUUCUUCAAUGAGUUGUGGAUUACUUUUCUGCAGCGUGGUUUGUCAAAAUAAUCUUCUUCAUGGCGGUAGAGACUUCAGUUUUGAUUUGGUGAUCUCUAGUAAAUUCUUUAGUUUCAGUAUUUGUUCAUUGAUUUUGAGAGCAUAUAUUUAUUGAUUGAUUUGUUAUUUUUCUCUUUGGUUUUGCAGGAGAGGUAAUCUACAUGCACACGAUUCCUCUGAGUUCUAUCUUCCUCUUGUUUGAUCUUUUAGUUUUUGUUUUCACACUCUUUUUUUCCUGGUUACUUUAGUUUUCACAAUAUUGAGAUAUUCUUUUAUCCAUAUUGCAGCAAGCUUCUGGUUCUAUAUUCCUCAUGUUGAUCUUCAUGUUUAAUAUUUGAUGAAACAUGUAUCUGCUUAUUGGACAUUGCAGUAUAGCGUGUUUUGAAACAAUAACUUUCUGUGUAAUACCAAGCAAUCAGGUUUAUUUUGUACACUUCUUGCAAUGUGAAUUAUUUCGAUUCAUUUUCUCUAGAGUUUUAAAUUCUUUGAUUUUUCAAUAUUUCAUCGGUAUUGUUAUUCUUUUCAGGUUGAUUAUUUUGGGUUCUUGCUUCUGAGAUAUUAUUUGGUUGUUGUUGCAUUCAAACUUGGAGUUUGUCGCUCUUAUUUUAAUGAUGAUACACUACGAUUAUAGAGUUCAUUAGGUUUUUAGUCGACUUGUUUUCUAAUUCCUCUUUGGGUCAAAUAUUAUUCUUCGAUUGAGUUCUGAUGUGAAUUUUCUUUUUGAUGUGUUUCAAUUUUGACAGCACACUUUGUUUUUAACCUGUAAUCUGGCACUGCAGAAGUUUACACGAUUCUGGAGAAAUUUUGAGAGCUUUGUGGGGCUCUCUUUGUAAUUAUGACCUUUUGGUCAGCGACUUGGUUUGGCGAAUUAUUCUACUUUUCUUUAUUCUUGGUUUAUUCUACAACUAUUUGUCAUAGUAGUUUUGUUGUUCAUGUAUCUUCUUGUGUCCACAGUGCAAGUACCUAGAAGUCUCUAACACACUGCACCUUGUUAAUUUUGUUGUGCUGUAGUUGGAGAUGAGUGCCUCUGUGCUUUGUACUACUUGUGUCCUGUGAAAUAUAAUUUUAUUAACAUUCCAUGUUUUUUGACUUUUGAUCAAAGGUUUUCUGCAAUGUGCUGCACUCAUGGAAGUUAUACACGGUGCCAUUGAUGCUGAGCGGAGCAUUGUUUCCUCUGAUGCAAUGGACAGGAAGGGCUCAGUUUGUGGUUGUCAUUGUUCAGACUAUUGAUGAGGAGUUACCUUCUGUUUUUAUAACUUUUCUUGCAUGGAGUAUAGCCGAGGUAAUGUUUUUAUUCGAUUGGAUUCAUUUAUGUUGAGUAUGGUUCUUAUUCACCGAUAUGUAGACACACACUCAAGCCUGUUUUUUAAGAGCCAUGAUUGCUACUGGAACAAUUUUAUUACUACCAUGACCUUGCUUGUUGUUUAAAUUAUUAUAAGAUCUCGUCGAACAAUUUAUGCUAUGUAUUAAGUUUAGAAGAGGUAAUCAUUACUUAAUAAAAUGAUCUUACAAAACAUGACAUAUAUCACAGAAAAUCAAAACAUUUGAAAACAGGAAAAUGCAAAUAACAAAGAGCACCUAAGAUAGAAAGCUAAUUAAGGAAAUUCAACCCCAUUUCAAUUAAAACUUAAGGGGAAUUUAGACCUUAAUAGUCCGUGACAGGUAACUGUUCAUAAGAGCUAGCGGUGACGAAGAAAAUUUCAUAGACAACUACAGCAAUAGCCGAACCAAUCAACGGGCCGACCUAAUUGACCCAAUGAUUAGCCCAUGU